UCCUCCUCCUCCUCCUCUCUUCCUCCGUGCCAUGCCGCGCCUCUCGCCUCCUCGCCGCGCUCUGCCCGGUCCGCUCCUCCUCCUCCUCUUCGUCCGGGCGAUGCCUCUCUCCUCCGACCUCUCUGUUGCACUCCGGCCGGUCCGCUGCUCCUCCACCCUUCGCCCGGGCCGCGCGUCUUCCCUCCUCAAGCCGGGUUUCAUCUUGCUCGUCCUCCUCGGUCGAUUUGCCCGUCUAGAAUCGCGUCCGGAUUCGAUUUUGCUCGUCCCGGGUCGAUUUGCCCGUUUAGAGUCGCGCCCGGAUUUGAUUUUUCUCGCCGUCGCCGAUUUAGAUAGCUAGAGAACCCCGCCUGAUUUGAUCUUGCUCGUUCUUGCCGUCGUCCAUUCGGACCGCGCCCAAUUUGAGUUUGCUCCUUCUCAGUUCGCGUCAGUUUAGAACCGCUCCCGAGUUGAUUUUGCGCGUCCCCGCCAUCGUCAGUUUAGAGUCGCUCGCUUCUGAUUUGAAUUCUUCUUGUCCUCGCCGUCACCCGUUUUCGUUUUGCUCGUCCUCGCCGUCGCCCCGACACGCUCGCGUGUUCUUGGUCCGUCUCGUCGAGGGUCUCCCGUCUGGUUUGCGAUUCAGAAAUUUCUGCGUGCGCUCCUGUUGUCCGAGAGACGCUUUGGAUCCUGCGUGUCUUCGUGUUCGUGUCAGCGCGAGCGUUAUAGGAAAGGUCGGGUCUUGGUUUUAAAAUUGGGUUAUGGGCCGGAGAUGGAGAGACAGAGAGCGAUUGUCAGUUUGUCGUGGUAGUUCAGAUCGGUUCCUAGGCUGUUGCGUUGUCGUUCGGUUGUUGUCUGAUCUCAAAUGGCUAGCUUGUUCGUGUUAGCCUAGAUACUCUGGUUCCUAUGUCGAUUAUGAUUGUACCAGCUAGCUUGUUUCACUUUCGCCAGGAUAGAUGCAGGGGUGAUUUUGUUCUGAUGGGUGUUACUGCUUCUGUUCUUUUCAAUUGGUUGUUUACUUCCUAGAGUAUCAUGCUUUGCUUAUGUUCCCAUAUAUGGUGAUGUGUGUUCAGGGGUGCAAACCAUUAACCAUGUAGGCCGUGGGUGCCAUUUCGAGCAGGAGGAGUAGAAAUUUUUAAAAGAGUGCAAAUCAUGUGGCUUGCUGAUUGACUAAUUGAACACCUGCUGCUGCUACUGUUUGACAAGGUUUCCUACUUUUCUUCCUUGUGUUGCAUAUAGGAGUACUAGAUGAGGUGCCUUAGACUUUGUUCUAGAUUGCAUAGCAUAACUCUAGAAUUUUGUCAUCGCACACCUGGGCAUAUAAUUCUGCUGUGAGCAUAACUCCAGAGUUUAUUUAUCUGUGAAAGCACGUUUAUCACACGUUUCUUAUCAAUGCUGCUCACUUUGUCAUGUCCCUUCUAUUUGUCCUGUUAAAUUUUAAUAUAUGGCAUCAACUUGGAACAACUUUUGUACUCGCUGGUUGGAAUGCCGACUUCUGUAUUUGUUGCUAUGUAAGCCAUGCACUUGCGAAGCCUGGGCCUGAUUAGGAUUUGGAUUGCAUAUAGAUUUUAUGCUAUGUUUGUUUAUAACCUGGUUGUUGCCUAAUAUAGUGUAAAUCUGCUAGUUUUUUAAUUUCAUUUAUGUUCAACACAAGUAGUUUUUGUUCAUAAGUGGUAUUUCUUUUGUGUGUGUAUGAACAUUCACGCUAUCAAUUUUUCUUAUCAUAAUCAUUUACCGUGGUGUUUGACAAUACAUUUCUACUGUUCUUUGUUCCCUUUUGAGUUUCACUGACUCAAUUAUGCAUGAGAUAUGAUAUCAAUUACUGCUGUCCAAUCACUGAAAUAAUGCUUUUCUUGCUUUGCCUAGACUUUGUGACAAGAAUAAGCAUGCGUCUCUGUGCCUACAAACUUGUGGGUAAUGAUGAUGAUCUAACUAGCUUCCUGUUUUCAGGAAUGAAGAUCUGAAUUACCCUCACCCCUCUACAGAAAUCAGUUUACUCAUUCAGUUUCUGGAACUUCUUUAUAGCUUUCCGAUUUUACUUCGGUCUUGCAUGUAUUAGCUUUCUGUUUGUACCCUUAUCUAUGUAUGUCUCUUUGUGUGUUUCUUGUGUGCAAGCGAUCCAUUGUGUGUGUCUGACUGUGUGUCUGAUGUGCGCCUAUCUAUGUGUGUUUCUUUGUCUGUUUCAUGUGUGCAAGUGCUCCAUUAUCUGCGUGUGACUAUGUUUGACUGCUUGGAUGGGGUGAUUCUGAUUGUGUUACUUCUUAUAUGGUAUGUCCAAUACGUUUCUUAUUCAUGCUUUGCUUGUGUUCCAAUGUCGUCUCCCCAUAUAUGGGGAUGUGAUCAGGGAUGUAAACCAUUUAGGUCGUUUCGAGCAGGCAGGGAUCCAGAGAUGUGCGCUGGUCAGGCUUCUCUCCUGCUGAUAGAUGAUGAUAGGCUAAGCAGAAAAGUUUGACUCUUGUAACACUCACUUGCUUGGCUUUCACUCCUUUGUGUGGCUGAUUUGGCAUCCAAUGCAUCUCAUGCCUAUCUUAUAUAUCUCGCUCACUCAUCACAGCAUCCUUUCCCUGUUUUUGUUCCUUUUUCUUCUUAUCAUAAUAAUCAUGUAUACCGUGGUGUUUGACAAUACAUUUUUUGUGAUAUCUGUGUUUAGUUAUCUCUUAUGUGGAUAUCAUAUUCUUUUUUUGUAUUACUGCUGCCCAUUCACUGGAAUAAUGCUUUUCUAAGUAUUUCAGGUAGGAUAUAGACAAAUGUCACAUUUGCUCUUCCUUGUGUUGCUAAGGACACGGAUGGGUUACAACGCAGGACCGAUAAUUCUGAUAGUAUGCCGAUAGUAUGCCAAGGACUACUCAGGGUUCCUAUCGCUUUCUGUUUUACCAACUAAGGUAAUCGAAUUUUGAUCUUCAGCUUGCAAAUUUAUAUCACCUUAUGGGAGGGAAAGGUUUGCAUGUACAUGAGCUCCAAUUACCUACAUAUAUACUUGAAUUGCUUUGGAUUUGUUGGACUUCUAUUCUAUGAUUCACUUGAUCUGUUAAUUUGAGUAUUUUCCUAGUGAGUUCUUUAGGUUCAUCUUGUGACACGAAAUACAAUUUUGGUACGUGCAGACUCUGAAAUUUGGUGAUAAAGAAAAGGUACCUCCUAAUUUGUUCUUUGGCUCUCUUACACUUGUCUUUGUUUAUAUAACAGUAGUGGCCUCCUGGCUUGUAGUUGGGUAGUGCAGAGAGAGGUUUGGAAUUGAAGAACUAAAAUAAUGCAGAGUUGAAGGUUUUGAACAGGAAGCUUGAACAAAGAGUUUACUUUUUCUCAUGUCUUUGAUUAGUUUCAUCCUAUCUAUGUAUGUUUCUUGUGUGCAAGCACUCCAUUGUGUCUCUGUGACUGUGUGUGACUGACUGUUUGUGUGUGUGACUGAUUGUGUGUGUUUCUUUGUCUGUUUCUUGUGUGCAAGCGCUCCAUUGUGUGUGUGCGUGUGUGUUGACUGUGUAUGUGUGAAAUUUUAUUACAUUGACUAUGUAUUGAUUGUGACUGUGUGUAUGUGUGUGUGUUGACUGUGACUGUGUGUCAUUUUAUGACUGACUGUGUAUUGAUUGUGACUGUGUGUGUGUGUUGACUGUGACUGUGUGUCAUUGUGCAAGCGCUCCAUAACUACAUAUGCAUGGAAAUUUCUAUAAGGUCAUGGGCAUGUAAUUUUAUGACCUACAUACCUUUGUAGUUGAUAGUAUCAUUGCCCUUUGGACACUCUUCAAUGCAUUGUUGUAUAUUUUCCUGCCACAAGUAUGAUGUUUGUGCUUAGAAUGAUGUAUAUGUAGAAUCCAGGGUGGAUGGAGGUUUUCAUGAUGGCUAAUUUGAUUUGUUAUGGUUCUGAUGGUGUGCUUCUUGUGUUCGAACUGAACCUGUGGAUCACUCAUCAACCUGGUCUGUGUUUGUAUGGUAAUCCUUCUCGAAUUUAACUCCUUCCAAUUGUGCACACAAUAUUUAUCUUACGUCUGGUAAUACCUUAUGAAUGUUUUAGCUAGUAAUAUAGUAAUGCCAUACUUCUUUAGACGUUGUUCUGCAUAUGCAAGUGUGAUGAGCUCACAUAUUGUGUCAGUAUCUACCUACACAGAUGAAUUAUUUUCGGAUAGGACAGAGGUGCAAUGUUUACGAAGGUUCUUUAACACUGAACUCAUCAAAGGUCCUUGGACUCAAGAGGAAGUUGACAAAAUUAUUGACCUUGUAAACAAGUAUGGACUAACAAAAUGCUUGCAAGGUCAGCUACCAGAACUUCCCCGCUGAUCCUGGGAUGUUUCCGAACAUGCUCCCGAACAUGUUCAAUUUAUCCGCCCUAGGACAGUUUAUUUGGUGAUGGCAGAAUGAACCCACCUGUGAUCUAUUCUGCUUCUUUCUUAUUCAAUGUUUUGUUAUUACUUUCUAAUUCUCUCUUCCCUUUGCAUUGAUCCACUUGCUAUGCAGCCACUGCCAUGACACAGCAGGUUACUUGGCAUGCUCGGCGUGUUUACUUCGGUGGACUUCCUCUGACCGCUAAUGAACAGACGGUUGCUCUAUUCUUCAAUCAAGUUAUGGCUGCUAUCGGGGGAAAAACAUUUGGUCUAGGUGGCAUAAUCAUCUGAAUCCAAACGUAUGGAACGAUGCUUGGACUACUGAGGAGGAACAUGCACUGAUUAAUUCCAUCAGGUAUAUGGGAAUAGCAAAAGUUAUUCCUGGAAGGUACUUGAAAGUGCAACUAUCCCUGGGUGGUUUUGGUAAUUCCUAACAACAUAUAGCUCAUUGAGCUAACAUUAUUCCAAGAUUAAUA